GACCUGAUUGCAUAAUGGUUAGUGUGUCUGCUUCAACUAGGCACACUUGGUAUUGGUUAGGCAGAAGGUCCCUUGUUUGAUUCGGGGUCAGGUCA